AAAGUCGUAACAAGGUUUCCGUAGGUGAACCUGCGGAAGGAUCAUUAAUUACGAAAGCUAUAGCCCCUUCGGGGGUUAUUGCAUCCACCCUUUGUCUACUUGUACCUCUUGUUGUUUCCUCGGCAGGCUUGCCUGCCGCUAGGAACCCACUAAACCCUUGUAUUUAUAGUAUUAAAAUCUCUGAUAACUAUUUAAAUUAUUACAACUUUCAACAAUGGAUCUCUUGGUUCUG
rnacentral:misc_RNA from 1 species